GACGAACGCUGGCGGCGUGCCUAAUACAUGCAAGUAGAGCGCUGAAGGAGGAGCUUGCUUCUCUGGAUGAGUUGCGAACGGGUGAGUAACGCGUAGGUAACCUGCCUGGUAGCGGGGGAUAACUAUUGGAAACGAUAGCUAAUACCGCAUAAGAGUAGAUGUCGCAUGACAUUUGCUUAAAAGGUGCAAUUGCAUCACUACCAGAUGGACCUGCGUUGUAUUAGCUAGUUGGUGAGGUAACGGCUCACCAAGGCAACGAUACAUAGCCGACCUGAGAGGGUGAUCGGCCACACUGGGACUGAGACACGGCCCAGACUCCUACGGGAGGCAGCAGUAGGGAAUCUUCGGCAAUGGACGGAAGUCUGACCGAGCAACGCCGCGUGAGUGAAGAAGGUUUUCGGAUCGUAAAGCUCUGUUGUAAGAGAAGAACGAGUGUGAGAGUGGAAAGUUCACACUGUGACGGUAUCUUACCAGAAAGGGACGGCUAACUACGUG
rnacentral:rRNA from 1 species